rnacentral:rRNA from 1 species
AGAGUUUGAUCCUGGCUCAGAGUUAACGCUGGCGGCGUGCCUAACACAUGCAAGUCGAACGAUGGUCUGUAUGACAUAGUGGCAGACGGGUGAGUAACACGUAAGUAAUCUACCCUUGAACGGAGGACAACCUGGCGAAAGUCAGGCUAAUACUCCAUACGAUCUCUUUGAGGCAUCUUAGAGAGAUGAAAGGUUUCGGCCGAUCAAGGAGGAACUUGCGAUUUAUCAGCUAGUUGGUAGGGUAAUUGCCUACCAAGGCUAUGACGAAUAGCCGGUCUAAAAGGAUGACCGGCCACAAGGACACUGAGACACGGGUCCUACUCCUACGGGAGGCAGCAGUGGGGAAUUUUGGACAAUGGACGAAAGUCUGAUCCAGCGACGCCGCGUGAAGGAUGAAGGUUUUCGGAUCGUAAACUUCUUUUAUAGGGGACGAAUGGGCGCAAGCUCUUGACGGUACCCUAUGAAUAAGCCACGGCUAACUACGUGCCAGCAGCCGCGGUAAUACGUAGGUGGCGAGCGUUACUCGGAAUUACUAGGCGUAAAGCGUAUGUAGGCGGAUAUUUAAGUCUGUUGUUAAAUCCCACGGCUCAACCGUGGACUGUCAACGGAUACUGGGUAUCUUGAGUUGGGUAGAGGAAAUCGGAAUUCCUAGUGUAGCAGUGAAAUGCGUAGAUAUUAGGAAGAACGCCAAAGGCGAAGGCAGAUUUCUGGGCCUUUACUGACGCUGAGACACGAAAGCUAGGGUAGCAAACAGGAUUAGAUACCCUGGUAGUCCUAGCUGUAAACGAUGUAGACUAGGUGUGGGAGGUAUCGACCCCCUCCGUGCCGACGCUAACGCAUUAAGUCUACCGCCUGGGGAGUACGGCCGCAAGGUUAAAACUCAAAGGAAUUGACGGGGGCCCGCACAAGCGGUGGAUCAUGUGGUUUAAUUCGACGCUACGCGAAGAACCUUACCUGGGCUCGAACGACUAGUAGUACCCCUGGUGAAAACUAGGGGGAUCCGCAAGGAAGCUAGCCGAGGUGCUGCAUGGUUGUCGUCAGCUCGUGUCGUGAGAUGUUGGGUUAAGUCCCGCAACGAGCGCAACCCCUGUCCUGUGUUGCUACUCCGCAAGGAGAGGACUCUCAGGAGACUGCCGUGGACAACACGGAGGAAGGUGGGGACGACGUCAAAUCAUCAUGGCCUUUAUGUCCAGGGCUACACACGUGAUACAAUGGCGCAGACAGAAGGUAGCAAUAUCGCAAGAUGGAGCCAAUCCUCAAACUGCCCCUCAGUUCGGAUUGUGGGCUGCAAUUUGCCCACAUGAAGCUGGAAUCGCUAAUAAUCGCAGAUCAGCAGGCUGCGGUGAAUACGUUCCCGGGCCUUGUACACACCGCCCGUCACACCACGAAAGUUGGUUGCAACAGAAGUGCCUGGAAUACGCCAGGUCCCAAGUUGUGAUUGGCAAUUGGGGUGAAGUCGUAACAAGGUAACCA